rnacentral:rRNA from 1 species
GGCGGACGGGUGAGUAAUACUUAGGAAUCUGCCCAUUAGUGGGGGACAACAUUCGGAAACGGAUGCUAAUACCGCAUACGCCCUACGGGGGAAAGCGGGGGAUCUUCGGACCUCGCGCUAAUGGAUGAGCCUAAGUCGGAUUAGCUUGUUGGUGGGGUAAUGGCCUACCAAGGCGACGAUCUGUAGCUGGUCUGAGAGGACGAUCAGCCACACUGGGACUGAGACACGGCCCAG